GACGAACGCUGGCGGCGUGCUUAACACAUGCAAGUCGUACGGUAAGGCCCUUUCGGGGGUACACGAGUGGCGAACGGGUGAGUAACACGUGAGUAACCUGCCCACAACUUUGGGAUAACGCUAGGAAACUGGUGCUAAUACUGGAUAUGUGCCCCUGCUGCAUGGUGGGGGUUGGAAAGCUCCGGCGGUUGUGGAUGGACUCGCGGCCUAUCAGCUUGUUGGUGGGGUAGUGGCCUACCAAGGCGGCGACGGGUAGCCGGCCUGAGAGGGUGACCGGCCACAUUGGGACUGAGAUACGGCCCAGACUCCUACGGGAGGCAGCAGUGGGGAAUAUUGCUCAAUGGGCGCAAGCCUGAUGCAGCAACGCCGCGUGCGGGAUGACGGCCUUCGGGUUGUAAACCGCUUUCAGCAGGGACGAAGCUUUUUGUGACGGUACCUGCAGAAGAAGCACCGGCUAACUACGUG
rnacentral:rRNA from 1 species